AAAAAACCCUUUGUAUGUUUUGCCCCCUCUUUGGCUCACUGUAAUUCCUUCUCUUGUCCAACAGGUGGAGUUUGUGCCACAUCUGCCAAAGACAAUCAGUGGGAAAAUCAGAAGAAACGAAUUGCGCAAGGCAGAGUGGGGGAAAGCUUAGAUUUAGCUGUUUACUUCCACAGCGCCUGUUCUGAGUUUUAUAUUGGUUCCUUAUGUUGCAAGAUCAUGCCAUGCCAGCCUCUGUAUUUAAAUCCCAAUGCUGCAGCUGUCACACACACACUGCAAAAAAAAAAAACCAACCCCAACCCUCGCAUACCCACUCCCUAGGACUUUGAGGUAUAUUACAAGCAGUGCAGGAUCAGGCAUUUGGGGAAUAUCAGUGGCUGAGCAUCUCCCUCCACCCAUUUAUAUAAAAUCCAAAAAGCAUCUUGCAAGGUUGAGCAAAGCAAAGCGUAACUCUCAUUCCAGAUGCUGAGUCGCAUGCAGAAAAGAACACAGUGUACUCUGGAGAAAAUGCCAACACAAAGUUGAUUCCAAAGCUCAGAAGCUUAAAAAAUCACCAUGAAUCUGCAGGGAGCUACAAGAACAAGCUAGACAUGUAAUCAAGCAUGUUAGCCAGUUCCUUUCCCCGCUCCCCUGUAGAGACAGAAUGGAAGGGUCUUGAUCUGUUCAGAUCUCCUGUUGACCCAACAGCUUCCAACACACAGGAUGAUGGAAGUAUCCACACCCAGGCCACCGAAAAAAUCAGGGGAGUAAAAGUUGUUGUAAUGGGGCCAUAGUUGUCUCAAAGCAAGUGAACUGUCUGGGAUUAUAAAUAAGGACCUUCACAGCACUGUUGACACAUGCUCAUUUCAACAUUCCACAUAGUUACUGGCAGCAAGCUUCUUUGGGCACCCCUGCUAGAAAGCCCUUCUAGAGACACAACCUGGCCGCAACCUAAAUAAGUCCAGUCUCUAUUGUGCAUCAGGGUGAUAUAAACUACAAGGGAUCCGGUGGUCACCAUGCAAGAGUAGCAUCCCCACCAAAGCUCCCACCAACGAUGUACUAUGCUGAAUGAUGCCGGCAUCAUUGAAGCAGGAGAAAAGGCUUUUAAUUCAGCUGGACACAAUAUUAAAUUCUUUUAAAUCCCAUUUAGUUCAAUGGGAGAAUUCAAUACACACUGAACGUCAGUGGGGCCUGAAGCGUGUGAUAGUGACUGAUCAUACCAGGAAUAUUUUUCGUUUCUGCAACAACCGGAGGCCCACAUCUGUACUUAAAUAUCCUCUCCCCCAUCCGUGUGUAAGCAAGCUCCUAGGAUUAUAGUUAAGAACAACUGAGCAGACUUUUAAGUAUUAAUAUUUCUGCAUAUGUAACUUCCCUACAGUGCUUAAAGAGCUAUCAAAAUCAAAAAGCUAUCAACAGGCAAAAUCCAAACUGUUAAAACAAAAAAUUGUUUUUAUUUCAUAUUUUAUUUCACUUAAUUCAGAUCAUAAAAAAUGGUUAGCUAAAAAAUUCCAGCCCGGACCAAUAUGGGUUAUCUCCUGGGACACUGAAAGCACUAUAGGCACAGUAUUUCAUGAUAUUGGCAACCAUUUUCAAAUCAUUGCCAGUUUUCUCAUGCAUUCAAGAAGAAAGUCACGGAACUCUCCUGCCAUGCUAUGUGUCAGGGAACUGCCAUCGGUAGGAAGGGAGGUGAAAGGACUCAGACAGGUUGGAAGAGACUUAGCAGCUGAAGAGGAAACCAGCAGGGGGAGAGAAGCUGAACUGAGGGAAAGGGAGCUGGGGGAUGGCUCAGAGAUACUUCCAGCGAAAACAGUGGUGAGGUUUCCGGACCUCCUGUAGCGACACCCACUCCUCGCCGGAAACUGUCACGCAGAGAGUCCAGAAGACGUGUUUCCGUUAAGGAGCUUUUAUGUUGGAAGCGAUUACGAAAGCAACCACUGUCGGAAUCUUCUAGUGACUAAGAGGAGCCAUGUCAGAGGGGCUCAGUCACAGACAGAGGUUUGUGGACUUGAACAAACUCUGAGGGAAUACGAUUUUACGCACAAGCAGCUCAUAAUCCCAUCACAGCAUUCCGACAGUCUUUGAACGCAGCUUGUGCAGGAGAAGGCAUAAUGAGCAACCCAGCAGGAACCGGAGAAGCAGGGGCUGGAGCGGGUCCAAGCCUGGAAGAAAGGUACCGAGUGUUGGAGGUCCAGCUGGCGCUGCAGACGGCGAGGCUGGAGGAGAGGAGGGCUCAAGAUGCAGACAAAAGGGAGAAAGCCACCCAGCUCGCCAGACAGGUACCAGGAGUGGUGCAAAAAUUUGGGGGGGAGCCCAAAGACUAUCAUAUCUUUAGGACAGAAAAGCAAUAUGCCCUCAAUCUGCAGUUUGAUGAUUUCCUGAUGAGGAAUCACGAGUGGCUUUUGUGAUUGGGCAUCUUGAAAAGGGGGCGAGAGACUGGGUUAGACCCUGAUGGCAGCUAAUAGUGACGUCUUAAAGGACACGAUGAAGUUCUUUCGCGCCAUGGAUCUGAUGUUUUCCAGCGAUAUUGAAAAGGGAGUGGUGCGCAGACAGUUAAUGGCUUGCAAACAGGGGAGCCGAUCUGUACGUGAGUACUGGACUGAGUUCACCAUGCUGAUACACAGAUUGGGGUGGGACUUAUCGGCGGAACCCAUUCAAAUGCUCUUUGAAGAAGGGCUUUCUUCGGCUGUGAAAGAUGAACUUUCCCGGGCGCCCAGGGCGGAGUCUAUGGACCAGCUGACCAAAUCAGCGCUGGCCAUAGGAGCGCGCCAGGAGGCGAGAGCAUUGGAGAGGCGGGAAGGGAAAGGGGAACGUUGGAAGGAGUUCCGCAUUCCAGAAAUUCCAGAGCCAACUGUCCCGCCGGCAGAGCCGAUGGAAAUCGGAACAGCGCGCGCGCGCAGUUUCAAAGCCCAGUGAGGGGGGAAAGAAGGAUGGAAAAGGCGCCCGGAAAUGCUAUCUCUGCCAACAGCCAGGGCACUUUGCCAGAGUCUGCCCCCAGAGGAAGGAAUGGCAAGGGAUGGUGGGAGCUGUGGAGGGAAGAGAGGAAAAAAUACCGGAGCAACUAAAAGCCAACGCCUGGCUGCCAUUGUCGGGCACAGCAGCCAGGCCAAAGAGCAGUGAAAGUGCCCACUCCAGAACCUCCUAAACCCGCCCUAGUGAUAGAAGUGACACUAGAGCUCCCAAACGGACACCCUCUAAAGAUAAAGGCGCUGUUGGACUCAGGCAGCUCCUGCAAUUUCAUGAGCAAAGAGUUUGCAGCUGAACACCAGAUACAGACGCUCCCUUUAAGCAACCCCUGCAGGUAACCACGAUCGAUGGCAGGGAGCUGUUGGGAGGAGAAGUCAGCUUGCAGACCGUCCCAAUGAUAAUGAAGGUGGCAAGGCACACUGAACUGAUAGCUUUUAAUGUGGCCACCUUGGGAGGAGCUCCCAUUAUAUUGGGGAUGAGCUGGCUAGCGUUACAUGAUCCGCUGGUGGGCUGGCAUCAGAGAGUGGUUUCUUUUGGGUCAGCACAUUGUUUAGAACAUUGCAAAGAGGGAAAGGUUUUGGCAGGGGCCCAAGCCACCUUAGCAGGGACUGAAGUGAAGGAGAACGUGAAGGUACCACGACAAUACGCAGAUCUCCGCGACGUCUUCAGCGAAAGGGAAGCUGACCAACUACCACCGCAUAGAGCCUUUGACUGUCAAAUCAAUUUGCUCCCUGGGGCACAGCUCCCUGUGGGCAAGCUGUACGCCAUGUCAGACAGAGAGAUGCAGGAGCUAAGAGAGUUCAUUGACAAGAACCUGAAGAGAGGGUUCAUCAGAGAGUCCAGGGCGGUGGGGGCAGCCCAGUGUUUUUGUGGACAAAAACACGAACAAGCCGAGACUGGUGUGUGACUUCAGGGCCUUAAAUGCAGUGUCAGAACCAGUGGCCUUCCCGAUGCCCAGGAUUGACGACAUUUUGACAAGGGUGCGAAAGGGAAAGAUUUUCACCAAGCUGGAUCUAAGGGGGCGUACAACCUGAUACGAAUAAGGAAGGGGAUGAAUGGAAAACCACCAUGUUCACCCCUUUAGGGGCAUUUGAAUACUUAGUUAUGCCCUUCGGUCUACAAGCAGGCUCCGCAACAUUUCAAUCGUUUAUGAACCACGUCCUGGGGCCGUUGCUUUACAAGAAUUGUGUGGCCUUCUUAGACGACGUGUUGGUGUAUUCUGAGAAUGAGGAGCAGCAUGUGAGAGACGUCAGAGAAGUGUUGAGCAGGCUGCAAGCCAACCAGCUGUGGGUGAAACUGGAGAAGUGUCAGUUUCAUACCAAGGAGGUGGAAUUCCUGGGGUAUCGCCUGUCUGACAAGGGGUUGGCCAUGGAUCCCGGCAAGGUCCAGGCGGUACUGGAAUGGAAAACACCCAAAACAAGGAAGGAUGUGCAGAGGUUUUUAGGGUUUGGGAACUUCUAUCGUAAGUUCAUCCCAAACUUUGCCCACCUGACGGCGCCCAUUACGGACUGUCUCAGCAGUAAGAAGAAGUUCGUUUGGACGGAGGAGGCGGAGCAAGCAUUUGAGGAACUAAAAGGGCCUUCGCCUCGGAACAACAGCUCCUGCAUGUGGAUUUACAAAACCGAUGAGAGUGGAAACUGAUGCAUCAGACAGAGCGGUUGGGGCGGUGCUUCUCCAGCCAGGGAAGGAGGAGUCAGAGUGGAGACCGUGUGCUUUUUUUCGCGAAAGCUGAACAAAUCCGAGAGGAACUACACGGUGUAUGACCGAGAACUACUAGCCAUUCAUGAGGCGUUCCGGAGAUGGAGGCACCUGCUAAUUGGCGCACAACAUAAGGUGCAAGUGUGCACUGACCACAAGAACCUAGAGUAUUGGAGGACGGCACGAGUGCUCAACCAACGGCAAGUGAGAUGGGCUCAGGAAUUCUCCAAAUUUAACUUUGAGAUUUGUUACGUGCCAGGCCCAGAGAAUAUUAGGGCGGACGCUCUCUCACGCAAACCUGAAUAUUUGGAGGGGGAGGGAGCACCCGAAGAGAGACAUGUCAUUCCAGAGGACCGCUGGGUGUGUGGGGCGGCAUUGGUGGGACAAAGAGAACUGGUAGAAGAAACAGAGAAUGAUGAAUACGCCCAGAAUAAGCUUAGAGGUCUUAGGGAUGAGGGAGAGGAAUCAAGGGGUUUCGAGGAAAGAAAUGGAGCUUUGUAUUACAAAGGGGCACUGUAUAUCCCUGAAGGAGACUUAAGGGGGAGGGUACUCAAGCAGUUGCAUGACAGCCCCACGGCGGGGCAUUUUGGGCAACACAAAACCAUGUGGUUGGUCACCAGGGAAUUUUGGUGGCCUAAGGUGAGGGAGGAUGUACGUGAGUAUGUAAGAGGGUGCGAGCAGUGCCAGCGAGCCAAAGGGGAAAGGCGGGCGCCGGCGGGGCUAUUAGAACCCUUACCAACACCAGAACGACCUUGGGAGGCAGUGUCGAUAGAUUUUAUGACUGAUCUGCCGAAGUCCAAAGGGAAAACAGCCAUCAUGGUGGUGGUAGACCUACUAACAAAGAUGUGCCACUUUGUAGCUUGCUCGCAUGCAGUCACGGCGGAAGAGACAGCAAAGUUAUUUGUAGAACACAUUUUUAGGUUGCACGGGGUGCCAUUGAGGGUGGUCUCAGACCGAGGAAAACAAUUUACUUCCAGGUUCUGGAGGAAGCUCAUGAGCUUACUGCAGGUGGAGGUCAACUUUGCGACUGCCCGGCACCCUGAAACCAACGGGCAGGCGGAAAGAGCAAACGGUGUCCUCCAGCAAUACCUGAGGUGUUAUGUCAAUGACAGAGAGAAUGACUGGGUAGAAAAGUUGGCGCUGGCGGAAUUUGCCUACAACAAUGCCGAGAAUGUGUCCACAGGGAUGAGCCCCUUCUUGGCUAAUUAUGGGUGUCAUCCCAGGGCUUUCCCAGGGGGAGAAGGGGAGAGAUGGAGCGUACCGGCAGCCGAGCAUUUUGUAGAAGAAAUGGAAGCAAUCCACCGUCAGCUCCAACUCAACUUAGAAAGGGCGAAGGAAGAAUACAAGAGGCAGGCAGACAAGAACCGAAGGGAAGGUGAAACCAUAAGGGUUGGAGAGGGUGUGGCUGUCAACCCGAGGGUUGCCGUUCAAAGGAGGUUGUAAGAAAUUAAGACCCAGGAGGUUGGGUCCCUUUGAGGUCAUUCAACAGGUCAACCCAGUGGCUUUCAGGCUCCGGUUACCCAACCACAUGAAACUGCACCCAGUAUUUCACAGGUCGUUACUGUCACCGUACGAGGGGGGACGAGAAGGGAUGGCCACUGGGACCGGUCAUAGAAGAAAGAGAAUGCAGCAGUCAUGUGGCAGAAAUCCUUGAUGCCAGGUGGAAGGGGAAUCAGGUGGAGUAUUUGGUAGCGUGGGAAGGAGAACCGGAGUCAGAAAACACGUGGGUAAUGGCCAAAGAUAUCAAUGACGAGGUAUUGAUAGAAAUGUUCCAUCAAAGGUUCCCGCGGAAACCUCAGCCUGUGGAGAGGUUCCGGAGGGAAUACUUUGGGACCACUGAGGAGGAGGAGGAGUUGGAAGGAUUCCCAGAAUCGGAAGGGGAAGGGGAGAUGGACUCGGAGGAGGAGGAGUGCUUCGAGACCAGGAACCGCAACAGGUGGAGAGAAGUGUUCGAGACAUCGGAAGAUGAAGGAAGUUCAUUCCGGGUUUUGCCUCCUCACCGCCCGUAGAGGAGGGGGCGAGAGGGGGUGAAGGGGGCCCUGGAGGGGAGGUGGAUGUCAGGGAACUGCCAUCGGUAGGAAGGGAGGUGAAAGGACUCAGACAGGUUGGAAGAGACUUAGCAGCUGAAGAGGAAACCAGCAGGGGGAGAGAAGCUGAACUGAGGGAGGUGAAAGGGC
rnacentral:lncRNA from 1 species